GGCUUCAAGCGUUGUCCGGAAUUAUUGGGCGUAAAGAGCUCGUAGGUGGUUCGAUACGUCGGAUGUGAAAAUCAGGGACUCAACCCCUGACCUGCAUCCGAUACGGUCGAGCUGGAGUUUGGUAGGGGAGACUGGAAUUCCUGGUUUAGCGGUGGAAUGCGCAGAUAUACGGAGGAACACCGAUGGCGAAGGCAGGUCUCUGGGCSAAUACUGACACUGAGGAGCGRAAGCGUGGGGAGCGAACAGGAUUAGAUACCCUGGUAGUCCACGCCGUAAACGGUGGGCGCUAGUUGUGCGAACCUUCCACGGUUUGUGCGACGCAGCUAACGCAUUAAGCGCCCCGCCUGGGGAGUACGAUCGCAAGAUUAAAACUCAAAGGAAUUGACGGGGCCCCGCACAAGCAGCGGAGCAUGCGGC
rnacentral:rRNA from 1 species